GAGUAGCACGUGAAAGUUCCAUCAUUCCAUUACAAACCCAAUUCUAUACUAUAAUAUUUCUAAUUUCCACACAUAGAUAGGCGCAGAAAGAAAAGAAAGAAACAGAGAGAAGGAAGAUAUGGAGGCUCCGCAGGCCAUACAAGUUUCUAGGAACCUUGAAGAUGAUCAAGAUAAAGCUGUGAAUGAGUGUUGUUCUUGCUGUUAUGAUUGCUCGGAAUGCUGGUUUGGUUACUUGUGCUGUUGGGAUGAUUGUGAUUGUUAGAGAUGGUCAACAAAUCUGUCUUUUUAACUUUGUACUUCAUCUCUCACUCUCUUCUCCAUAUAUUUCUCUUUCCUUUCAUAUAAUAUAUUCACCUUACCCUUGCUUCAUUAUACAAAUCAAAAAUCUUGUAUACCAAACUCUUCUUGUUUGUUUUUCUUUACUGCUAGAAAUAAAUUUAUUGAGCUAGUGACUUUUGAAA